rnacentral:sRNA from 1 species
CAACAACAGAAAGGAGGUGAUCUUGUGUCUAAUUGUUCCAAGCCGCUCUCGGGUACAGUGACCAGGGUCUCCGCCUUUGGCGAGAUCCACGCGUGAUACCACGUCGUAAUCGUGGUCCUGUAUCGGAUCGUGGUUUGACAAUUGAAAGGCCGCCCCUCGGGGCGGCCUU